rnacentral:rRNA from 1 species
UACGAAGGGAGCUAGCGUUGUUCGGAAUCACUGGGCGUAAAGCGCACGUAGGCGGGUCGUUAAGUCGGGGGUGAAAUCCUGGAGCUCAACUCCAGAACUGCCUUCGAUACUGGCGACCUUGAGUCCGGGAGAGGUGAGUGGAACUCCGAGUGUAGAGGUGAAAUUCGUAGAUAUUCGGAAGAACACCAGUGGCGAAGGCGGCUCACUGGCCCGGUACUGACGCUGAGGUGCGAAAGCGUGGGGAGCGAACAGG